AUGGGCGAGGCCGUGAGGGGCUCCGGCGAGGAGUGCAACUGGUCCGUGGGGCGGUGGGUGUACGACAACGCCUCCCAGCCGCUCAACUCUGGCCUCAACUGCUCCUUCAUCUUCGACGAGGUCGCCUGCGAGAAGUAUGGCCGGAAUGACACCAGGUACCAGUAUUGGAGAUGGCAGCCCGAUGGAUGUGAUCUUCCGAGGACGCCCGUACACGGAUGGUGCACCACCGAUGUGAUAGCCCGAACGAGCUUUAUCCAGUGCAUCCCUCCGGCGCCACCACCACCCGUCGCCCCGCCGCCUUCGCCGCCAGUGUCGAUCUUUGGCAUGCCCGUCUCGGUCAUCCCAACUCCACCGUUAUGCGUCAGAUUCUUCAAAGUUUUUCUUUCUCAUGUAAUAAAGUAG
rnacentral:rRNA from 1 species